GAGUUUGAUCCUGGCUCAGAACUAACGCUGGCGGCGUGCCUAACACAUGCAAGUCGUACGAGAAAGUUGGCUUCGGCCGAUGAGUAAAGUGGCGCACGGGUGAGUAACGCGUGGAUAAUCUACCCCUCAGUUGGGAAUAACUCAUCGAAAGGUGGGCUAAUACCGAAUAAUACUGCAUAACUACUGUUAUGUAGUCAAAGAUGGCCUCUGCUUGCAAGCUAUUGCUGAAGGAUGAGUCCGCGUACCAUUAGCUAGUUGGUAGGGUAAUGGCCUACCAAGGCAACGAUGGUUAGCUGGUCUGAGAGGAUGAUCAGCCACACUGGAACUGAGACACGGUCCAGACUCCUACGGGAGGCAGCAGUGAGGAAUAUUGCGCAAUGGGGGCAACCCUGACGCAGCAACGCCGCGUGAGUGAGGAAGGUUUUCGGACCGUAAAGCUCUGUCGAGCGGGAAGAAGUGCAUAAUGGCUAAUAUCCAUUAUGCUUGACGGUACCGCUAAAGGAAGCACCGGCUAACUCCGUGCCAGCAGCCGCGGUAAUACGGGGGGUGCGAGCGUUGUUCGGAAUCAUUGGGCGUAAAGAGCGUGUAGGCGGCUGGAUAAGUCAGAUGUGAAAGCCCUGGGCUUAACCUAGGAAGUGCAUUUGAAACUGUUCAGCUUGAGUAAGGGAGAGGAAAGUGGAAUUCCUGGUGUAGAGGUGAAAUUCGUAGAUAUCAGGAGGAACACCGGUGGCGAAGGCGACUUUCUGGCCCUAUACUGACGCUGGGACGCGAGAGCGUGGGUAGCAAACAGGAUUAGAUACCCUGGUAGUCCACGCUGUAAACGAUGUUCACUAGGUGUUGGGGGUAUUGACCCUCUCAGUGCCGCAGCUAACGCAUUAAGUGAACCGCCUGGGGAGUACGGUC
rnacentral:rRNA from 1 species